CUUGGGAAACGCCGGCUUUUCUCAUCCCUGGAAUGCUUUCCAGCCCUCUCUGAUUAAAGCUGGGAACCGUUCUUUCAGACCGUGUGCCAAGCGAUGGCUGUCAUCAGGGUGUGCUUUGUGCUGUGGUACGUUAGCAGCUCCCUCUAGGAAAAGUCUGUGGUAAAGGACCUCAGCUCGUUCCUCUUGCUGCUUAUUUGCUUUUUUCCUGCAUCCGGAGAUUUUCCAUGUGGCAGUGAAGCAGGGCGGGCUGGCUGUGUGAGAAGGAUCGGGGCUGUUCCCGGCGCUGUGCGAAUGCACUGCUGAAGGCAGCCGAGGGUGCCCGGGCUGCCCUGCUGAGGCUUUCCUGUUCUGCCUUCGCUGCCACAGAAGCAGGCACUCUGCAAGAACAAUUACAGUGGUUCAUCUCGACUAUCUUCAGAUAAAUUUGAGAUCUUCUUUCUAUCUGAAAAGAAAUGAUUCCCCCUCAAAAUUCCCUUUACUGUUAAAGAUAACAUUUAAUGAUGGCAGAAGAUUAAAUGGCCUGUGCAGAAUCCUUUGCCUCUGGUAAGUGAAAAGCAAACAUCUUCAUGCUACUAGAUCUCUUUGUUUUUCAUUACUACAGAAAAAUUAAAAUUAUUUGACUUGGCCUCAGGCCUUCAAUUGCUCUGUUGGGUUAUAAAAAAUACAGUGAGGAGCCAGUAAUGAGUGGUAUUCCUUAUGUACCUUGGCUGUUUGUUCUUUACAAACAGAAGAUUGAUUACAAUGGUUAAGAGACUUGGGAUUUAUUGACUUGUCUUCCCAGGAAUUUUUUAUCUCAUAAUUGCUUUCAAGAGUAUUUUCCUGCUUUUUUCACCUCCAUUAACCACUGAAACAUCUUUUCCUAUAAUAAUCAGUAGUAGCUGAGAGUGCUAGCCAGUAAACUCAGUCCUAACAGCUGGCUUUUUCCAAAUUAUUAGGAGUAUUUGAAGGUGCUUACUGAAGUGAGGGAGCCUAAAAUAUUAGUUAGGUAGAAUGAUGGACUCUACUAUCUUGAGGGUAAUUCAACUGCAUUGGGGGGUGAUUGUAUCAGAAAUGUCCAGUGACUAAUAUUUGUUUGUUUCUCCUUUUGCAUUUUAAACAAUGAAUUCUUUACCUGUCACCUCCUGUGCUGUCUCUGCAAAUAGCUGAAGCCCUGGGUCCCUGUGUUAUUCACAGUGAAGGUAGCACUUAUUACAGAUGUGUUAUGAGCAAACCUGGGGCAAACAGAAUCUGCUCACAAAAACCACAGCCCCAUUUAAUGCUGAUAUUACUCCCCCCUGAAACACUAAACCUUGAGUAUUAGAACACUGCUGUACUUUGUUCCAGUUUAGCCAUAUUCAUUUGAGGUUAAGCAGAUAAUCCUCUGAGCUUUGAAUUUCCUUUGUAGUUUCUCACUUCUCUGGUGGAAAAUAAGCUGCAGUACAGUCUCAGAAAUGAACACAAUGUUUCAUCUCUCAAAUGCUGUGGUUCAGUGAUAAAUGCAGGGUAAUCCUUGCUCCUAAAUAACAUUUGCAAGGAACACAGAAGUAACUUUAUGUAGGUGAUUAUGAACUUCAAGGCUAAUUAUAAGUUGUAAUACGCAUGUAUUUCUAUAUAUGAAUUAAUAAAAUACUGAAAUAAGUUUUAGCA
rnacentral:lncRNA from 1 species